CUCGGCCAGUGCGCGGGACUGGCCGAGGAGGGAGAGGGAGAAGAUCAAGGCGCCAGCCACCAACCGGCAAGUUCAGUUUCAGUUUCAGACGAGGAAUGACUUGGAGGGUGGCUGUGUGCCGCUGGGGCCUUAUGGAUUUACGCUGUUCAGGACGAAGACACGGGCCGCGGGUGCCUAUGUGUGUAUGUGGUGGUGCAAACUUGGUGCCUGGCUGAGAGGGCCAGGGGCACAGGAGCUGCUGCUAAUGACGGUCAACAACAUUGUGAUAUAGCUGGAAAAGAUUGUGGAUGCGAGGCUGGUAUGCUGGGCUGGUGAGGAGCGCCGUAAGGUUGCUGGUGUAACCAACGGUGAUAACGAUGCCAAACAGAAGCCAACUAGUGAUGAAAAGCCUUAGAGCCGAGGAGCGGGGCAGGUCCGGGGUUCCCUGACCCACCAACAACCGUAAGAGAAAAAGUCCGUCUCUUCUCUCCAGCCACGGCUGUCCGAACAGUGUACCCUGCAGUCAUUGAUAAGGAAAACGUCCCCAAAGUUGGACGUAGCUCACCUCUCACUCACCUCCGCCGGCCACGUGGAAUAACACACGACCCUCUCUGUUUAACCGUCUGGAGUGACGGCGUCUGCAUCCAUCACCUCAUCCAUACUGUCCUUGGUGCCAAACCGUGCCUGAGACUGUUGAACAUUUGCUCCUGCAGUACCCUCGCUUUGCACACAAAUCCUUGCUCUGGGAGUAAAUAGUGUUGACCUGUGCACUCUAGUGGACCACUGGCCACCAGGCGCCGCGGUGGCAGGCGUCCGUCCACCCCUCAAGACAAUGGGCCGUCAUCCGCCGCACCUGUGCCUUCCCCAAGAGGUGAGAACAGGUACCACGCCAGUGAUGAUGCAGACACUUAGCAGGGCACACAUGGUCACAUUGAUCGUCACGGCCUUUUGACAUCAAACAACAGGCUCACCUCGGGUCAUCACUAGCAGACAUCUAUGGCUUCCAAGACUAUGCCCUGCCUUGAAACUCGAACAUGCCCGGGUCUUCCGGCAGAAGACUAAACGGCUCACCAGAAUGUAACCAAGUAACCUGUCUGCCACCAAUACCUUCGGGGCAAUAGUAUGUGACACCACACCCAGAAAGUCCUCAACUCCACAACGAGCACAAGAUUCAGAGGGUCACAACAGCUAAGACACCACUGGUAGACCUACUCCCCAAAUCGGGCACUGGACACAACAGUCACCAGACU